UACUCCUACGGGACGCAGCAGUGGGGAAUAUUGCACAAUGGGGGAAACCCUGAUGCAGCGACGCCGCGUGAGUGAAGAAGUAUUUCGGUAUGUAAAGCUCUAUCAGCAGGGAAGAUAAUGACGGUACCUGACUAAGAAGCUCCGGCUAAAUACGUGCCAGCAGCCGCGAUAAUACGUAUGGAGCAAGCGUUAUCCGGAUUUGCUGGGUGUAAAGGGAGCGCAGACGGCAAGGCAAGUCUGAUGUGAAAGUCCGAGGCUCAACCUCGGGACUGCAUUGGCAACUGUCUGGCUAGAGUGCAGGCGAG
rnacentral:rRNA from 1 species